GGGACAUUUCUCUUUCCGAGUCCAGCCGAUACAAGUCCAUUCCCGCUCGCAGCCAGGAUAUACCUGUGUCUCCACUCCCAGGGUCCCUCCGGCCAGGGCUUAUUUUGCCAUCUCAUCUGGUCCCACCUACUCUUAAUUCUCCACCACAAGCAUUGUUUUUACUCCCAAUCUCUUCUUCCCUUCGAGCCCCUCCAUGAUCUCCAUCCCUUUUCACUACUUGAAAGUUAUCGUCUCUUUUCCUCGGAAAAAAUGGACUUUAAAUAGUUAUUUUAUUCUUCUCAUUGGGGAAAGGGAAUAGAAGAAAAGCCGUGUGGAAAUCGAGACGUCCAGAGGAAAAAUAUAAAAGCAAAGAGAAAUAUGGACGGAGGGAAUACAUAAACUAGAGAUCCAGCCCGCGCUUAGCAUGUGGCAGGCUCCAGGUUCAAUCACCAGCGCCCCCCAAAAAAGGCAAUAUUUAAUGAGGUUUACUAUGUGCCAGGUACUGCACGGUACGUUUUACACAGGUAAUUUCACUCUUUCACACACUGGAGUAGAUAUUGUUAUCCCCAGUAUUUUAUGGAGGAGGAAACUGAAGGCCAACAGCUUGUCCAAGGUUAUAUAGAUAAGAAGUGGUAAUGAGAAAGUUUUUAGACUCCAGAACCUUGAACCUUUAUCCUAUAAACUGCCUUAAUUUUAGGUUUUCACACUGAACAUUGAACUCUGCAUAAAUCUACACAAAAGAGGGGAGAAAUAGACUAGUCCUCUCCAAAAGACUCAAUUGUCCCUCAAGUACCUUAGAACCCUAAUUCGGUCUAUUAAAAACCUGGCUUCAUGGUUAAAUUGCCAGAGGUUAAAUAGAAUGAUGGGGUGGGGGGGAUUAAACGAAGAAUCAAAUCUCUCUUAUCUGGGAACAGAUAAAGUAACUUUAUAACUAGUAAGGCAUGCUUACAUCAGAAUAACUCUGGCCCUGCCUCUGAUCCGGGUUCCCAAAGGAGAGGAAGCGGGGCGCGGGGCGGGGAAAAGCCAUUCCAAGGAGUAGACUAGAAGAUUCGCUUUUAUUCAGUUUCUCAAACUCUAACAUGUAUCAACUCAAAUAUUAGCUUUCCCAUAUCCCACACGGAGGGAGUUUUUUUCCCUGAGCCCCAGCCAGAGAUUCUGAGUUCAGAAGGUUGGGAGUAGAGCUCAUGAAUUUGCAUUUCUUUCCUUUUGGGGUGGGGGAGUGUCUAGGAUUGAACCCAAGGCCUCAAGCAUGAUGUAUGGCUGAGCUACAUCCCCAUCCCUGAUUUCUCCUAACAAAUUAAUAGGUGAUGCCAUUGCUGCUGCUCUGCGUACCUCCACCUAAAGCCAUUUUCACCCAAACCUAGCAAUAAUUUAAUGGUAACUACCUUAUAUUUAAAUGG
rnacentral:lncRNA from 1 species